rnacentral:rRNA from 1 species
GAUGAACGCUGGCGGCGUGCCUAAUACAUGCAAGUCGAGCGAACGGACGAGAAGCUUGCUUCCCUGAUGUUAGCGGCGGACGGGUGAGUAACACGUGGAUAACCUACCUAUAAGACUGGGAUAACUUCGGGAAACCGGAGCCAAUACCGGAUAAUAUUUUGAACCGCAUGGUUCAAAAGUGAAAGACGGUCUUGCUGUCACUUAUAGAUGGAUCCGCGCUGCAUUAGCUAGGUGGUAAGGCCCCGGCUUACCAAGGCAACGAUGCAUAGCCGACCUGACAGGGUGAUCCGCCACACUGGAACUGAGACCCGGUCCAGACUCCUACGGGAGGCAGCAGUAGGGAAUCCUCCGCAGAGAGCUAUUGUCUGACCGAGCAACGCCUCUUGAGUGAUGAAGGUCGUCGGAUCGUACAACUCUGAUAUUAGGGAAGAACAUAUGUCUCAGUAAGUGUGGCCCUCUUGACCGUUCCUAAUCUGAAGGCGUCGGGCAACUACGCGGCAGCAGUAGUUGUUCAUAGCUGCGUGGCUACUCUUAUCCGGAAUUCCCGCCCCUAAAGCGCGCGUAGCGGUUUUUUAAGUCUGAUGUGAAAGCCCACGGCUCAACCUUGGAGGGUCAUUGGAAACUGGAAAACUUGAGUGCAGAAGAGGAAAGUGGAAUUCCAUGUGUAGCGGUGAAAUGCGCAGAGAUAUGGAGGAACACCAGUGGCGAAGGCGACUUUCUGGUCUGUAACUGACGCUGAUGUGCGAAAGCGUGGGGAUCAAACAGGAUUAGAUACCCUGGUAGUCCACGCCGUAAACGAUGAGUGCUAAGUGUUAGGGGGUUUCCGCCCCUUAGUGCUGCAGCUAACGCAUUAAGCACUCCGCCUGGGGAGUACGACCGCAAGGUUGAAACUCAAAGGAAUUGACGGGGACCCGCACAAGCGGUGGAGCAUGUGGUUUAAUUCGAAGCAACGCGAAGAACCUUACCAAAUCUUGACAUCCUUUGACAACUCUAGAGAUAGAGCCUUCCCCUUCGGGGGGCAAAGUGACAGGUGGUGCAUGGUUGUCGUCAGCUCGUGUCGUGAGAUGUUGGGUUAAGUCCCGCAACGAGCGCAACCCUUAAGCUUAGUUGCCAUCAUUAAGUUGGGCACUCUAAGUUGACUGCCGGUGACAAACCGGAGGAAGGUGGGGAUGACGUCAAAUCAUCAUGCCCCUUAUGAUUUGGGCUACACACGUGCUACAAUGGACAAUACAAAGGGCAGCGAAACCGCGAGGUCAAGCAAAUCCCAUAAAGUUGUUCUCAGUUCGGAUUGUAGUCUGCAACUCGACUACAUGAAGCUGGGAUCGCUAGUAAUCGUAGAUCAGCAUGCUACGGUGAAUACGUUCCCGGGUCU